UGUAGGAAUAUUGGACAAUGGAGGCAACUCUGAUCCAGCCAUGCCGCGUGCAGGAAGACUGCCCUAUGGGUUGUAAACUGCUUUUAUACAGGAAGAAACACUGGUAUGUAUACCAGCUUGACGGUACUGUAAGAAUAAGGACCGGCUAACUCCGUGCCAGCAGCCGCGGUAAUA
rnacentral:rRNA from 1 species